rnacentral:rRNA from 2 species
GCAGUCGACGACUCUGGUAUUGAUUGGUGCUUGCAUCAUGAUUUACAUUUGAGUGAGUGGCGAACUGGUGAGUAACACGUGGGAAACCUGCCCAGAAGCGGGGGAUAACACCUGGAAACAGAUGCUAAUACCGCAUAACAACUUGGACCGCAUGGUCCGAGUUUGAAAGAUGGCUUCGGCUAUCACUUUUGGAUGGUCCCGCGGCGUAUUAGCUAGAUGGUGGGGUAACGGCUCACCAUGGCAAUGAUACGUAGCCGACCUGAGAGGGUAAUCGGCCACAUUGGGACUGAGACACGGCCCAAACUCCUACGGGAGGCAGCAGUAGGGAAUCUUCCACAAUGGACGAAAGUCUGAUGGAGCAACGCCGCGUGAGUGAAGAAGGGUUUCGGCUCGUAAAACUCUGUUGUUAAAGAAGAACAUAUCUGAGAGUAACUGUUCAGGUAUUGACGGUAUUUAACCAGAAAGCCACGGCUAACUACGUGCCAGCAGCCGCGGUAAUACGUAGGUGGCAAGCGUUGUCCGGAUUUAUUGGGCGUAAAGCGAGCGCAGGCGGUUUUUUAAGUCUGAUGUGAAAGCCUUCGGCUCAACCGAAGAAGUGCAUCGGAAACUGGGAAACUUGAGUGCAGAAGAGGACAGUGGAACUCCAUGUGUAGCGGUGAAAUGCGUAGAUAUAUGGAAGAACACCAGUGGCGAANGCGGCUGUCUGGUCUGUAACUGACGCUGAGGCUCGAAAGUAUGGGUAGCAAACAGGAUUAGAUACCCUGGUAGUCCAUACCGUAAACGAUGAAUGCUAAGUGUUGGAGGGUUUCCGCCCUUCAGUGCUGCAGCUAACGCNNAAGCAUUCCGCCUGGGGAGUACGGNCGCAAGGCUGAAACUCAAGGAAUUGACGGGGGCCCGCACAAGCGGUGGAGCAUGUGGUUUAAUUCGAAGCU